rnacentral:rRNA from 1 species
GACGAACGCUGGCGGCGUGCCUAAUACAUGCAAGUUGAGCGAUGAAGAUUGGUGCUUGCACCAAUUUGAAGAGCAGCGCACGGGUGAGUAACGCGUGGGGAAUCUGCCUUUGAGCGGGGGACAACAUUUGGAAACGAAUGCUAAUACCGCAUAACAACUUUAAACAUAAGUUUUAAGUUUGAAAGAUGCAAUUGCAUCACUCAAAGAUGAUCCCGCGUUGUAUUAGCUAGUUGGGGAGGUAAAGGCUCACCAAGGCGAUGAUACAUAGCCGACCUGAGAGGGUGAUCGGCCACAUUGGGACUGAGACACGGCCCAAACUCCUACGGGAGGCAGCAGUAGGGAAUCUUCGGAAAUGGACGAAAGUCUGACCGAGCAACGCCGCGUGAGUGAAGAAGGUUUUCGGAUCGUAAAACUCUGUUGGUAGAGAAGAACGUUGGUGAGAGUGGAAAGCUCAUCAAGUGACGGUAACUACACAGAAAGGGACGGCUAACUACGUG